UUCUUCUUCUUCUUCUUCUUCUUCUUAUUCUUUCUAUUUCCUUUCCCCGUUCUUCUGUUCUUGAUUGAUUUAUGACAUGAAAGUGAAUUCUAUUUGAGGGAAUCAAUUAUCCAAGAUGAUUAGAUGAAGAAGGUGAUGUUACUCAAGCUGAUCUAGUUCUGCAAUUACAGAGAUAUCGAUUCAAAGGAUGAAGCAGUGGAUUGUGGAUUCGAGGUAGACAUGGUUUGCCUACAAAUCAGAUGAAGCAAUAUCAUUAUAUAGGGGAUUCGACUCUCAAUAUUACUUUUACACCAUUUCUUGUGAGAAUCAGCUCGUUUGCAUAUUAUGAUUGAUUGUAAACCCUUCGGGGCUUAUGAUGGUAUUUUCCUGAAUCAUGAUUUGGAUGGGCACUCUGUGUGGAUGGCGUUAUUAUUCGAGUCUGGAGUUAUUCUGCUUUCACUUUCUCCAAUGAGUUUGGCGAGGUCUGAGUAACAUAUUUUUGGUUUGUUCUAGUUUCACUUUUGUAGAUCAUCCGGUGGUGGUCUUUCACAGAUAUUGUUAUUAUGGUACGCAAUAUCCGAGGAGGUAGAAUUAGAAUUACCUUUCUUUCAUGUAUGUUAUAUUGCGAUGCUUGUUGUUUGCUGAGUGAAUAAUUUAAUGUGUAUUCGAUUGAAAUCCCCGCGAGGAGUGACCAUGAUCUCCCCACAACUCCUUACUAAGUCUUAUUCAACACGGGAAGUGUAAAUAUUAUAUAGCAUGGGAAGUGAAAUAUUGCUAUCUAACGCGUAAAGCGUGAUAGUAUUACUUUUUUUAUUUUAUGACCUAAUUUAUGUCGUUAAUGACCAAGA